rnacentral:rRNA from 1 species
GCUAAGUAGUGGCGAGCGGGCGCGGUAAGACGUAGAGGUCAAGGGUUAUCCGGAAUUAUUGGGCGUAAAGAGGUCGUAGGCGGUUUGUCGCGUCUGCUGUGGAAACUGGAGGCUCAGCCGCCAGCCUGCAGUGGGUACGGGCAGACUAGAGUGCGGUAGGGGAGAUUGGAAUUCCUGGUGUAGCGGUGGAAUGCGCAGAUAUCAGGAGGAACACCGAUGGCGAAGGCAGAUCUCUGGGCCGUAACUGACGCUGAGGAGCGAAAGCAUGGGGAGCGAACAGGAUUAGAUACCCUGGUAGUC